GACGAACGCUGGCGGCGUGCUUAACACAUGCAAGUCGAACGGAAAGGCCCUGCUUUUGUGGGGUGCUCGAGUGGCGAACGGGUGAGUAAAACGUGAGUAACCUGCCCUUGACUUUGGGAUAACUUCAGGAAACUGGGGCUAAUACCGGAUAGGAGCUCCUGCUGCAUGGUGGGGGUUGGAAAGUUUCGGCGGUUGGGGAUGGACUAGCGGCUUAUCAGCUUGUUGGUGGGGUAGUGGCUUACCAAGGCUUUGACGGGUAGCCGGCCUGAGAGGGUGACCGGCCACAUUGGGACUGAGAUACGGCCCAGACUCCUACGGGAGGCAGCAGUGGGGAAUAUUGCACAAUGGGCGGAAGCCUGAUGCAGCAACGCCGCGUGCGUGAUGACGGCCUUCGGGUUGUAAACCGCUUUCGCCUGUGACGAAGCGUGAGUGACGGUAAUGGGUAAAGAAGCACCGGCUAACUACGUG
rnacentral:rRNA from 1 species